rnacentral:lncRNA from 1 species
UAAAAGCUUCUUAAACAAAGCCAAGCGCAAUCAGAAUCAAGAUCAAGCAAGGUUGGAGCUCCCUCGAACGUAAUUUUUUAGAAUUUCCAUCUCUUCGAUUCUCCCGCAACUCUUCACUAUUCUUUGUGAUUGUUGGUUGGUUUAAGUCCUACCAAUAUAUGCAAGAAGAUUGAGUUGCUUUGAGGUCAAACCGAAGCAACUCAUGAUCCUCAAAAUUCAAAUCCUUGUAUCUUUU